UCCAGCAGUAGUCAGCUGUCCGGACAGAACCAUUCCUGUGAUGGUGUUACAUUGCUGGGAGAGUAAUGUCUAGUCUUCAUCCAGUUGCCUGUGUCACUGUUCUGGUGGCCUAUGGGGCUGGGCAAGACAGAACUAUGCUUCCUUGAGAGUGUGCUGAGCAUUUGCUUUGGCUGCUUAGUUCUAGUCUGGAAGCAGACACA
rnacentral:snoRNA from 1 species